AGCGAACGCUGGCGGCAGGCCUAACACAUGCAAGUCGAGCGCCCAGCAAUGGGAGCGGCAGACGGGAUAGUAACACGUGGGAACGUACCCUUCAGUUCGGAACAACCCAGGGAAACUUGGGCUAAUACCGAAUACGUCCGUAAGGAGAAAGAUUUAUCGCUGAAGGAUCGGCCCGCGUCUGAUUAGCUAGUUGGUGAGGUAACGGCUCACCAAGGCGACGAUCAGUAGCUGGUCUGAGAGGAUGAUCAGCAUCACUGGGACUGAGACACGGCCCAGACUCCUACGGGAGGCAGCAGUGGGGAAUAUUGGACAAUGGGCGCAAGCCUGAUCCAGCCAUGCCGCGUGGAUGAUGAAGGCCCUAGGGUUGUAAAGUCCUUUCGACGGGGAAGAUAAUGACGGUACCCGUAGAAGAAGCCCCGGCUAACUUCGUGCCAGCCGCCGCGGUAAAAC
rnacentral:rRNA from 1 species